CAAUAAUCAUUACUAGUUCAAACAAAAAUAAUCAAAACUUUUAACAAUGGAUCUCUUGGUUCUCGUAUCGAUGAAGAACGCAGCGAAACGCGAUAUUUCUUGUGAAUUGCAAAAGUGAAUCAUCAGUUUUUGAACGCACAUUGCACUUUGGGGUAUCCCCCAAAGUAUACUUGUUUGAGCGUUGUUUCUCUCUUGGAAUUGCAUUGCUUUUCUAAAAUUUCGAAUCAAAUUCGUUUGAAAAACAACACUAUUCAACCUCAGAUCAAGUAGGAUUACCCGCUGAACUUAAGCAUAUCAAUAAGCGGAGGAAAAGAAACCAACAGGGAUUGCCUUAGUAACGGCGAGUGAAGCGGCAAAAGCUCAAAUUUGAAAUCGGCCACCAGGUCGAGUUGUAAUUUGUAGAUUGUAUCUUGAGAGCGGAUUAAAGUCUGUUGGAACACAGCGCCUUAGAGGGUGACAGCCCCGUAAAAUCUAUUCUCAUUGUAAGAUACUUUCGAAGAGUCGAGUUGUUUGGGAAUGCAGCUCUAAGUGGGAGGUAAAUUCCUUCUAAAGCUAAAUAUUGACGAGAGACCGAUAGCGAACAAGUACUGUGAAGGAAAGAUGAAAAGCACUUUGAAAAGAGAGUGAAAAAGUACGUGAAAUUGUUAAAAGGGAAGGGUAUUGAAUCAGACUUGGUGCUGUUGUUCAACUGUGUUUCGGCAUAGUGUACUCAGCAGUACUAGGCCAAGGUGGGGUGUUUGGGAGUGAAAAAGAAGUUGGAAGGUAACUCUUCGGAGUGUUAUAGCCUACUUUCAUAGCUCCUCAGGCGCCUCAGGACUGC
rnacentral:rRNA from 1 species